GUCAAAUAAAUAAAUAAAAUCUUAAAAAAAAAAAAAAGGCACCACCUCAGCAGGCCUUUUCAGCCUUGCUGUGUGUUUCCCCUUGCAGCCCUUAGCAACGGGCAGGAGGUGGCAAAGGAGGCAGUGGACUGUUCAGUGGUAGAACGUGGACCUUCUGGCCCCGCGUGAAGUCUGUCAGCCACAGAUUGCACAGCGUCUUUGGCUGUUGACCAUAUUUGCAGUGUCUCCUAGAGUUCUGAGCAGAAGUGGAGAGAGGACGCCAUGCACCACCGCUUGUGGGAUUAGGCUUGUUCCGGAGUGGUCAGGCCAUGAUCUGGUGUCCAGGUGGUGGAGGGCACAGCCCUCUCGGCUCUUGGAGUCCGACUCAUUCUGAGGGAUGUAUGGUUGAGCUCCAUGACCUCCGAGGCUCCUUGCCAUUCUGUGAUGCUGGGACUGGAAGUCAAGAGGAGUUCAGCACCUGCUUUCUGAGCCAUCAUGGCCAUCUGCCAUCUCAGACUUAA
rnacentral:lncRNA from 1 species